CUGACUGUGCUAAGGUAGCAUAAUCAUUUGUUAUUUAAUUAAUAACUAGAAUAAAAGGUUUAACAAAAAUUUAAUUUUAAUUUUAAAUAAAAAAAAAUUAAUUAUUAAGUAAAAAAGCUUAAUUUGACUAAAAAGACGAUAAGACCCAGAAUCUUGAUUUUUACUGGGGUGGUGAGAAAUUAAUUAUUCAAAUUCUAUAAAAACAGCUUCAAGAGAUUUAUUAUUCUUAAAUAAAAAAAAAGAUACUCUAGGGAUAACAGCGAUAUUUUUUUAUAGAGCCCUAAUCGAAAAAAAAUCUUUCGACCUCGAUGUUGAAUUAUAGAAACUUAUAGAAG
rnacentral:rRNA from 1 species